rnacentral:rRNA from 1 species
GACGAACGCUGGCGGCGUGCUUAACACAUGCAAGUCGAGCGAGUGGAUUCCCUUCGGGGAUGAAGCUAGCGGCGGACGGGUGAGUAACACGUGGGCAACCUGCCUUAUAGAGGGGGAUAGCCUUCCGAAAGGAAGAUUAAUACCGCAUAACAUCAGAUUAUCGCAUGGUAGACUGAUCAAAGGAGCAAUCCGCUAGAAGAUGGGCCCGCGUCGCGUUAGCUAGUUGGUGAGGUAACGGCUCACCAAGGCGACGAUGCGUAGCCGACCUGAGAGGGUGAUCGGCCACAUUGGGACUGAGACACGGCCCAGACUCCUACGGGAGGCAGCAGUGGGGAAUAUUGCACAAUGGGGGAAACCCUGAUGCAGCAACGCCGCGUGAGUGAUGAAGGCCUUCGGGUUGUAAAGCUCUUUGAUCAGGGACGAUAAUGACGGUACCUGAAGAACAAGCCACGGCUAACUACGUGCCAGCAGCCGCCGUAAGAC